rnacentral:rRNA from 1 species
UACGUAGGGUGCAAGCGUUGUCCGGAAUCAUUGGGCGUAAAGAGCGUGUAGGCGGCCUGUUAAGUCUUGCGUGAAAUCUCGGGGCUCAACCCCGAGCGGUCGUGAGAAACUGGCAGGCUAGAGUGCGGGAGAGGAGAGUGGAAUUCCUGGUGUAGCGGUGAAAUGCGCAGAUAUCAGGAGGAACACCGAUUGCGAAGGCAGCUCGCUGGGACGUAACUGACGCUGAGACGCGAAAGCGUGGGGAGCGAACAGG